rnacentral:tRNA from 1 species
UGUCAGGAUGGCCGAGUGGUCUAAGGCGCCAGACUCAAGUUCUGGUCUUCGAGAGAGGGCGUGGGUUCAAAUCCCACUUCUGACAG